rnacentral:rRNA from 1 species
AUUGAACGCUGGCGGCAUGCCUUACACAUGCAAGUCGAACGGCAGCGCGGGGCAACCUGGCGGCGAGUGGCGAACGGGUGAGUAACAUAUCGGAACAUACCCUAGAGUGGGGGAUAACGUAGCGAAAGUUACGCUAAUACCGCAUACGCACUAAGGUGGAAAGUGGGGGAUUCGCAAGAACCUCAUGCUCAUGGAGUGGCCGAUAUCUGAUUAGCUAGUUGGUGAGGUAAAGGCUCACCAAGGCGACGAUCAGUAGCUGGUUUGAGAGAACGACCAGCCACACUGGAACUGAGACACGGUCCAGACUCCUACGGGAGGCAGCAGUGGGGAAUUUUGGACAAAUGGGGGGCAACCCUGAUCCAGCAAUGCCGCGUGAGUGAAGAAGGCCUUCGGGUUGUAAAGG